rnacentral:tRNA from 1 species
GGAGAGAUGGCCGAGCGGUUGAUGGCGCUGGUCUUGAAAACCAGUGAUGCUGAAAGGCACCGGGGGUUCGAAUCCCUCUCUCUCCGCCA